rnacentral:rRNA from 1 species
GAUGAACGCUGGCGGCGUGCCUAGUACAUGCAAGUCGAGCGAACGGACGAGAAGCUUGCUUCUCUGAUGUUAGCGGCGGACGGGUGAGUAACACGUGGAUAACCUACCUAUAAGACUGGGAUAACUUCGGGAAACCGGAGCUAAUACCGGAUAAUAUUUUGAACCGCAUGGUUCAAAAGUGAAAGACGGUCUUGCCGUCACUUAUAGAUGGAUCCGCGCUGCAUUAGCUAGUUGGUAAGGUAACGGCUUACCAAGGCAACGAUGCAUAGCCGACCUGAGAGGGUGAUCGGCCACACUGGAACUGAGACACGGUCCAGACUCCUACGGGAGGCAGCAGUAGGGAAUCUUCCGCAAUGGGCGAAAGCCUGACGGAGCAACGCCGCGUGAGUGAUGAAGGUCUUCGGAUCGUAAAACUCUGUUAUUAGGGAAGAACAUAUGUGUAAGUAACUGUGCACAUCUUGACGGUACCUAAUCAGAAAGCCACGGCUAACUACGUG